AGCUUUCAGUAUCCACGCUGAGAUCUCGUUAGUUGUCAGAUAAUAAGAGUUUAUGAGAUCCUCGAUAUAAGUAAAGCA
rnacentral:pre_miRNA from 1 species